rnacentral:rRNA from 1 species
GAUGGACGCUGGCGGCGUGCCUAACACAUGCAAGUCGAGCGGCAGCGAGGGGUGCUUGCACCCUGUCGGCGAGCGGCGGACGGCUGAGUAACGCGUGGGAACGUGCCCCAAAGUGAGGAAUAACUGCCCGAAAGGGUAGCUAAUACCGCAUAUUAUCUUCGGAUCAAAGGAUUUAUCCGCUUUGGGAGCGGCUCGCGUCGGAUUAGGUAGUUGGUGAGGUAAUGGCUCACCAAGCCGACGAUCCGUAGCUGGUCUGAGAGGAUGACCAGCCAGACUGGAACUGAGACACGGUCCAGACUCCUACGGGAGGCAGCAGUGAGGAAUCUUCCACAAUGGGCGAAAGCCUGAUGGAGCAACGCCGCGUGCAGGACGAAGGCCUUCGGGUUGUAAACUGCUUUUAUAAGUGAGGAAUAUGACGGUAACUUAUGAAUAAGGAUCGGCUAACUGCGUG